CGGAGGAUCCAAGCGUUAUCCGGAAUCAUUGGGUUUAAAGGGUCCGUAGGCGGUUUUAUAAGUCAGUGGUGAAAUAUGGUCGCUCAACGAUCAAACGGCCAUUGAUACUGUAGAACUUGAAUUACUUGGAAGUAACUAGAAUAUGUAGUGUAGCGGUGAAAUGCUUAGAGAUUACAUGGAAUACCAAUUGCGAAGGCAGGUUACUACAAGUGGAUUGACGCUGAUGGACGAAAGCGUGGGGAGCGAACAGGAUUAGAUACCCUGGUAGUCCACGCCGUAAACGAUGGAUACUAGCUGUUCGGAGCAAUCUGAGUGGCUAAGCGAAAGUGAUAAGUAUCCCACCUGGGGAGUACGAACGCAAGUUUG
rnacentral:rRNA from 1 species